AAAUGAGGAGUGGGAAACUGCCAGCCCCGGGCUAAGAAUGUUAGUCAGUCGAUUCGUUCGUCAUUCGUCGCGUUAACAUCGGAUAGGAGUGGUCGUUCUUCGUUACAACAUACUGGAAAUCUAUCUAUUAUAAUACAUAACGACUAAAUGGGAGAACAGUAUUGCACAUUACAGAGCUCCAUACCUCUGCCCCAAACAGCGCCAAGCUCUCUACCAGUGAUCUCUUGUAGUCCUGUUUGAAUAUUCUUUCUCCCACGUUCUACAGAGGUUGGCUUAUUCCUUCUUCUUCUUGCUAUUCCCUGGAAAGGACCUAGUUGUAUUUCAAAAGUCAAGAAUGAGAAUCUUCCAGCCUUCACUUCUUCUAUGGAACUCGACGAUUCCUAUUUGAUGGCGGUUUUACGAUGACUUGUCUUCGACUCCAGUAGUGUUAGUGACAACGUUCGUUACAUCUAAUCAGGAAGCUGUUCUUGACGACAGCGGAUGGAGUUCUUCAGGACGAGGAGAACCCAUGUGUCCGGGAAUAGGUGAGUUGGAAGAUAUCUAGUACCUUAGGGCCUAGGACCUGUGCACUAGUCUGAAGAUUUACCUUUACUGGAUCAAGGUGUAGGUCAAUCAGAAUCAAGCGCGUGUACAUGUGUUUUCAUAUUUUUUUUGCGAAUACGUGAUCAUCCAUGCUUGCAUUGUCCAAGGGGAAUUCCGUAUAGUAGAAUCUUGAAUACCUUUUAUCUAAGAACUUCAUGGAAUCUUGUUAAGUCUUUCGUAUCUCUAUUACUUUCUUCUGAAAGCGGAAUUUCCUUCAGACAAAUCACGUAACACAUAUAUACAUUAUUAAUAUACAGGGUGAUUGGUAACUGGUGGUACAAGCGGAAAGGGGGUGAUUCUA
rnacentral:lncRNA from 1 species